rnacentral:rRNA from 1 species
CUUGACUCUAGUCUGGCACUGUAAGGAGACAUGAGAGGUGUAGCAUAAGUGGGAGACCCUCCCUCCGGGGCGGCGGUCGCCGUUGAAAUACCACUACUUUCAUCGUUUCUUUACUUACUUGGUGAGGCGGAGGGCGCGCGUCGUUCCCCGUGUUCGGCGCGCGGUCUUCUGGAACCAAGGGCGGCGAGUGCAAGAUCCUUGCCGAUCGAUCCGAUCCAAGGACACUGCCAGGCGGGGAGUUUGACUGGGGCGGUACAUCUGUCAAAGAAUAACGCAGGUGUCCUAAGGCCAGCUCAGCGAGGACAGAAACCUCGCGUGGAGCAAAAGGGCAAAAGCUGGCUUGAUCCCGAUGUCCAGUAAGCAUAGGGACUGCGAAAGCACGGCCCAUCGAUCCUUUUGGCUUGGAGAGUUUCCAGCAAGAGGUGUCAGAAAAGUUACCACAGGGA